AUUGGCUGUUAGCUAAAUUGUUUCACAGAAUUGUUUCACACUGCUAUCAUUUCAUUGGCUGUUAGCUAAAUUGUUUCACAGAAUUGUUUCACACUGCUAUCGUUUCAUUGGCUGUUAGCUAAAAUGUUUCACACUGCUAUCGUUUCAUUGGCUGUUAGCUAAAAUGUUUCACACCGCUAUCGUUUCAUUGGCUGCUAGCGAAAAUGUUUCACAGAAUUGUUUCACACCGCUAUCAUUUCAUUGGCUGUUAGCUAAAUUGUUUCACAGAAUUGUUUCACACUGCUAUCGUUUCAUUGGCUGUUAGCUAAAAUGUUUCACACCGCUAUCGUUUCAUUGGCUGCUAGCGAAAAUGUUUCACAGAAUUGUUUCACACCGCUAUCAUUUCAUUGUCAGAAAGCGUGUGAUCACAAGAGCGCCAAAGCCUUUCCUUGAGCUAAUGUUCCAGCAAUAGGGUGCUUCUCAAUUCCUCGCUCCUAUGACCGGGACACCGAUCAAGCUCCGCCAUCAUGCAGGAGGAACGAGGAGUUAGAAGACUUUCUGAGGAGGCAUGAGUGAGGAAACACCCUUUUUCGUCAAUGUCUGGCAGCCUGUCCCACAGCCGUAUAAUGGCAGCGGGCAGCGGCUACCCAUGUCCGAGAUACAAGGCCUUUCCCUCAGCUCAACAAGGUAUCUGGCCAGGUCCACCACUUUGUCGAAUCCUGGAGUACCGUUUGGUCCUCUGCACACCUAACAAUUAGAAAGAAGAUGAGUUAGUAUGGAUGAAAAGGUCCUCCAAGUGAUAGCAUGGCAAAGGAUGCUUGUAUGCAUGCAUACAUCUUCCUGGGGCCCAGGUGGCAAGUCCUGGGAGGACUGAGAGGGUGACGGUGAAUCCCGAGACAAGCUUAUAGCUUCCUUGGUUGAGACAAAGGAAAGAGGGGAGAUGGUGUCGUCCUGCUCCUCUGCCUCAUCGCCAAAUCCCUCAUCUUCUAUAUCUCCCAAGUCCGCUGGGAUUCCGUCUGAGACAUCUGGGUCCCGGCCAAAGUUCUCCCGGAACUCCCAGGACUGCUGCGAGCACAGGCGGUGUGAAUAUAGGUACCAUGUGUGAGAAGGGAAAACAUCUGCAGUUUAACAGGUCUGUCUCAUGGAUUCUUUCAGGACCGGACCCCUGCAUUAUCACUAUCUAACACAGACAGUGGCGUCACUGGGAGGGGGGGUGUAGGACAAUUUUAUGGGCCCCUAAAGAUCAUUUCUAUUAGUAGUAACAUGGGUGUGGAAGAGGGCCCAACCACAUAUUCUUUCAUAUAGGGCCCAAAAUUCAAUGCAAUUGAACGUCUCACUAUAGUAACCCAUUAUAGGCCGUAAGUUUCAAAAGAACUUGCUGAAUUGAAUGUGUUGUCCUUACUGUUGUACAAAUCGCAAUCAAGUUAUAAAAAUACUAACACAGCCUUUGUAAAAGACCAUGUUGUUUUUAAUGACAUUAUGAUGGCAGAUAAAUGGAGAAAACAGUCAUAUGGAGGCAAUUAUUCUUCUCUUCAGCUCAUGAGGGAAAGUGCAACCACCAGCCAUUUCUUUGGGUUAUUGCCGACUACUUAAUUUUUAAUGGUGAGUUUAUUGUGAUGUAAUGUGUGGAUCAUUGGUGGAUCAGUUAGCUGUCAAUCACAAAACACUCCAGCGAGCUUUCAUACCCAGCAAACAAUACAAACAUAACAAGACACUAAUCUAAUGCCAAAGGGCGUAAAGGGUCCAUAUUAUGCAAAAUCCAGUUUAUACAAGGUGUUUUGAAGAUAAAUGUGUGUAGGCAUUGUGUGAACACAA